UUGGAGGUCCACACAUCAGAGAAUGUUGACUUGACUAUGGUGGGACGAAGAUGGUUGGAGGUCCACACAUCAGAGAAUGUCGACUUGACUAUGGUGGGACGAAGAUGGUUGGAGGUCCACACAUCAGAGAAUGUCGACUUGACUAUGGUGGGACGAAGAUGGUUGGAGGUCCACACAUCAGAGAAUGUCGACUUGACUAUGGUGGGACGAAGAUGGUUGGAGGUCCACACAUCAGAGAAUGUCGACUUGACUAUGGUGGGACGAAGAUGGUUGGAGGUCCACACAUCAGAGAAUGUCGACUUGACUAUGGUGGGACGAAGAUGGUUGGAGGUCCACACAUCAGAGAAUGUCGACUUGACUAUGGUGGGACGAAGAUGGUUGGAGGUCCACACAUCAGAGAAUGUCGACUUGACUAUGGUGGGACGAAGAUGGUUGGAGGUCCACACAUCAGAGAAUGUUGACUUGACUAUGGUGGGAGGAAGAUGGUUGGAGGUCCACACAUCAGAGAAUGUCGACUUGACUAUGGUGGGACGAAGAUGGUUGGAGGUCCACACAUCAGAGAAUGUCGACUAAGAAUAUCAA